rnacentral:lncRNA from 1 species
UGUAAAAGACUAUCACCACAAACAUGCCGAUUUAAUCUAGUUCACCAUCUCUUUUUUUUUUUUUUGGAAGCAGUUCUAUUUUAUUCAACAAAAAACAUUUUAAAGUUGUCAUCAAUUGAAAUCUCACAAACACAAAAGGUGAGAAGGAGUAUUAAAUUGAACACUGCACUCGUUUUAAUUCUGUUUGCAAUUCUUGAGGAUAUACAAACAAAAACAUCUUUAAAAAUAACAAUAACAAUAACAAUAAUCACAAUACCAAUGACUCGAUAUACUGAACUAGAGCAUCCAUAUUAGUAUACGACGAACCACCUUUACUUGCAGACAUUUUCAC